rnacentral:rRNA from 1 species
UACGUAGGGUGCGAGCGUUGUCCGGAAUUACUGGGCGUAAAGCGUGCGUAGGUGGUUCGUUAAGUCUGAUGUGAAAGCCCUGGGCUCAACCUGGGAAUGGCAUUGGAAACUGGCGACCUAGAGUGCGGUAGAGGGUAGUGGAAUUCCCGGUGUAGCAGUGAAAUGCGUAGAGAUCGGGAGGAACAUCUGUGGCGAAGGCGACUGCCUGGACCAGCACUGACACUGAGGCACGAAAGCGUGGGGAGCAAACAGG